rnacentral:rRNA from 1 species
UACAGAGGGUGCAAGCGUUAAUCGGAAUUACUGGGCGUAAAGCGUGCGUAGACGGUUGCGUAAGACAGAUGUGAAAUCCCCGGGCUCAACCUGGGAAUUGCAUUUGUGACUGCACGGCUAGAGUGUGUCAGAGGGGGGUAGAAUUCCACGUGUAGCAGUGAAAUGCGUAGAGAUGUGGAGGAAUACCGAUGGCGAAGGCAGCCCCCUGGGAUAACACUGACGCUCAUGCACGAAAGCGUGGGGAGCAAACAGG